GAAAUGCGUCUCCUGUAGGCAGCAUAUUGUUGGAACUUUUAUUUUUUUGAUCCACUCUACUAGCCUGUGUCUCUUAAUUUGUGAGUUUAAGCCAUUAACAUUUAGGAUUAUUAUUGAGAUAUGGAUUGUUCUUGCAGCCAUAUUUUUUUAUUUAUGUUACUAAACAUGGUUUGUUUUUCCUCUUUGAUUAUUUUCCCCCCUUUACUGUCCUACCUCCCACUGUUGGUUUUCAUUGUUAUUUUCCGUUUCCUCUUCCUGUAAUGUUUUGCCGAG
rnacentral:lncRNA from 1 species